UCCCAGAUAAUCCGGUUUUUACUGACUGUUAAUCCGCAGGUCCCUGGUUCGAGUCCAGGUCGGGGAGCCA
rnacentral:tRNA from 1 species